GACGAACGCUGGCGGCGUGGAUUAGGCAUGCAAGUCGAACGGUAUCAUCCUUUCGGGGGUGAGAGAGUGGCGAACUGGUGAGUAACACGUAGGUUAUCUACCCUCAAGACGGGGACAACCCAGGGAAACUUGGGCUAAUACCGGAUGUGAGCAACUUUUAGUUGUUUGAAAGGUGGCGUAAGCUGUCGCUUGGGGAUGAGCCUGCGUCCUAUUAGUUAGUUGGUGAGGUAACGGCUCACCUAGGCAAUGAUAGGUAGGCGGCCUUAACGGGUGGUCGCCCACACUGGGAUUGAGAUACGGCCCAGACUCCUACGGGAGGCAGCAGUCGAGAAUAGUCUACAAUGGUCGGAAGACUGAUAGUGCGACGCCGCGUGAACGAUGAAUCCCUUCGGGGUGUAAAGUUCUUUUAUAUGUGAGCAGUGCUUCUUAUAUUAACAGUAUGGGGAGAGAGAUAUUAGCAUAUGAAUAAGCAACGGCUAAACUCCGUGCCAGCAGCCGCGGUAAGACG
rnacentral:rRNA from 1 species